GUCCACGCCGUAAACGAUGUCAACUAGCCGUUGGAAGCCUUGAGCUUUUAGUGGCGCAGCUAACGCAUUAAGUUGACCGCCUGGGGAGUACGGCCGCAAGGUUAAACUCAAAUGAAUUGACGGGGCCCGCACAAGCGGUGGAGCAUGUGGUUUAAUUCGAAGCAACGCGAAGAACCUUACCAGGCCUUGACAUCCAAUGAACUUUCUAGAGAUAGAUUGGUGCCUUCGGGAACAUUGAGACAGGUGCUGCAUGGCUGUCGU
rnacentral:rRNA from 1 species